GAUGCUUGCUUUACUGAAGCUCUGUGGUUGGUCCAGCUUAGCAGGAGUUCAGGGCCCCCGGGCUGCUUCGCAACACCCUGUUUCUCUCUGUGUGUAUGUGACUUUUGGGAAGACCCUGUCAUUCACACUCCAUAGAAGAAUGUGACUCCCUGCAGCUGGGAUCCGCUGGGCAGUGGCUACUCACCAGGUUCUCACUGGUCAGCCGGGACAUCUCCUGCUGGACGGCGAACUCCACCUGGGCCUCGGGGGACAGCAGCAGCAUCUGGGAGAAGGUCUGCUGCUGCCUGUCCAGCUCCUCCUCCAAGGCCUCCACCUGGGCCCUGAGAGCCUCUGCCUCCUCCUCGUGCGUGCGGCUCUGGGCCUGCAGCUGGGCCUCCAGCAACCUGCACCAGGGUGAGGAGGGCAGCUGACCGCGGGGCAGGAGCCAGUGCCCCCGACAGACAUGCAGCAGGGGAGCGGCCAGGCAAGCAGCAGCAGCAACUGCAUGAACCCAGUGGGAUGGAUGCCGUGGGGCACAGACCUGUGCAGCCCAUCUGGCAAGCGGGCCAGCCUGUCCUCUCGGAAGGUGGGACACCAGGGCUAACCACGGAGCCCUGGUCCCGGGCCUCCUUCUUGACCCCCCCUCAUUCUCUUGUUCUUCACUUUUGAGCAUAGUCUGUUUCAUCAGCAGAAAUACAUUUCUUAUAGCAUCUUCUAAAUAAAAGCCUCCACCUUUGUCUCCAA